AGCAGCCGCGGUAAUUCCAGCUCCAAUAGCGUAUAUUAAAGUUGUUGCAGUUAAAAAGCUCGUAGUUGAAUUUCGGGAUCAGUUCGUUGGUCGUGCCUUUGGUAUGUACUGGUGUUACUGGUUCCUCCCUUCUGACGAACCGUCAUGUCAUUAAUUUGGUGUGGCGGGAAAUCAGGGCUGUUACUUUGAAAAAUUAGAGUGUUUAAAGCAGGCUCGCGCUUGAAUACAUUAGCAUGGAAUAAUGAAAUAGGACGUUCGAUCCUAUUUUGUUGGUUUCUAGGAUUGACGUAAUGAUUAAUAGGGAUAGUUGGGGGCAUUAGUAUUCAAUUGUCAGAGGUGAAAUUCUUGGAUUUAUUGAAGACUAACUACUGCGAAAGCAUUUGCCAAGGAUGUUUUCAUUAAUCAAGAACGAAAGUUAGGGGAUCGAAGACGAUCAGAUACCGUCGUAGU
rnacentral:rRNA from 1 species